rnacentral:rRNA from 1 species
AGCUCCAAUAGCGUAUAUUAAUAUUGUUGCGGUUAAAAAGCUCAUAGUCUAAAUUCGAUCUACACUUGAUUAGUCUCCGUUUGCUUUAAUCGGCAUUCGGUUUAUAUGGUUAAUCUUAUAGUUGUAGUUCAUAAACUGAUAUUUGUUUAAUUGGAUGUGUCUAAUUAAAACAGUAUCAACGAUUACUUUGACUAAAUCAGAGUGAUCAAGACAGGUUCGUUUCGUUACGACCUUGAAUGCUCUAGCAUGGAAUAAUAGAAAAGGACUCGUUUGGGUCUGGUGAAGUGUUUAUGUUCACGCAUACUAUGGUCUCCAGUACCUCGAGUAAUGAUUAAAAGGGAUUGACGGGGGCAGUCGUAUUGCUGGGCUAGCGGUGAAAUGCAAUGACCCUGGUAAGACGUCCUAAAGCGAAAGCAUCUGCCUAGGAUGUUUUCA